GAGCCGCGGUAGCCGAGAGGGAAGGGAAGCGGUGUCCGAGUCGUAGUAAGUAACACCGGAGAGCACCGGGGCAGGUCGAUGCUCGCUGCGGGGCCGAACCCCGGCAGAAGCAUAAAGUGGCCUGGACCUGUCCCAAGGUAGCCAUCUGAAAGAACCUCUUCAAGUAGUAAAAGAUAUGCAAACUCUGGUAUCUGUUCCUGUGCCGAUUCGAUGAUAUGCACAUCUUUCCAAUGUGACUGAAAUGCAGAGCAUGCUGGUGAUACUAUCUCUGGAGAGACAUCUGAAGUUAUUAGUGUGGACAUCAAACAUCACCUUAAACUAUUUGGGGUUAAAAACAGGUGUGUCCUACAUUAGUCAAGAUUGUGAAGAAAUUCCAGAAUUCCUAGGAAGAAAAUAUGGACAUAUGGCAAAAAGGCUAGAUCUUAGCUUCAACUUGUUAAGAUGGACUGAAGACCAGUGUGAUGAUGGAUUCACUUUCUGUGUGGUGACACUUCAACGGGAACUAGAUGUGAUCUGGAUGAGACUGAAGUGGGCUGUUGGAGCAAUGCUGGAGGCUCUCUGCAUUUUCUCUGCAUGCUCUCUGGAGAUCUGGAGGACUGCAUUCACUAGAACCAUCAUGCCAGUUCCUCUUGCGAGAACUGUAGCCAAUCUUAAAUGAAAUAUAGUUUUUGUUAUUUGAAUGUCAGGAAAAGAAUGAACAAUUUGUGUUUCAAAACUGUGCCAGACUGAGAGAAAGCCAGUUGUAAAAUGAAUGGAAGAUUACCACAACCUGUGUAAAAUAUUGGCAUUUUGAGGAGGAGAAGUAGUUUGAUGCACUUGUUUUAACUUCUGAGCAAUGUUUGUCAGUAGAUUGCAAGUAAUGUUUUGAUGACCUCUCCUGGGAGAGUUCAUGGUUAUCUGGACUGUAAGACUGAGAACUAAACUUUUUUAAAGAGUAUUGAGGGCUUUAAAAAAAAGGCACGAUGAAAGUAACUGUUAUACAUGUAGUAGUCAGAUGGACCAUUCUUACUUUAUGACUUCCCUAAUGUCUCUUACUCUACAACAGUAUUUCCUCAUGACGGCUGUUGUGCUACAAAAACAAAGGACUGCAGAAAUAACUGUUGCCUGAGGACAAGGAGCUUAACUGAAAGGAAGAAUCUGCGCUAACCCUGGAGAUAUUGUCACUGUCUUUUCUUGUCUGUUUUGUCAAAAAAAUUUUCUUUUCUCCUUAACCCAGUGCACGAGAUUCCCAGCAUCUAACUGCAGAUGUAGAGAACUUGAUUGGUUUUGCUUACCAUCACCAAGUAAGGAGGGCCUCUGUCCUCCAGUAUUGAACAUACAUGUUGAGUGAUUAUGCCAUAAAUAGGUAGCUGGCAUUUUGCAUGUGAUAUCUAUUUGAAGAUUGUUUUUAUGCAUUGCUUGUUUGCUUUAUGUUGUUUUGUGUGAUUUGUGCUAUUUUUGUGAUCUUGCGUUUUACAAAAAUCAUCUUGGAGAUAAUUUUUCACUUAAAAAAAGAAAAAAAAAACCCACAACCCAAACCCUUAGCUAGUGUAAGUGUAGAGAAGUAUCAGAAAUGCUGAACGACCAUGCAUUUUUCUCAGGCUAAAAGGAGCCAGCAUGUCAAACCAGACAUGUUAUACAGUAAUUACACUGUUUCUAAGGUCAUAGUUAAUGCAGUGUUGUAGCUCAGCUGCAGAAUUUAUCCAGGAACUGAUGCUGCCAGUCAUGUGAAGUUUUGGCUUUUUAUAAGUUUUUGUUUUAUUUCUUUUGGUCUUUCUUUCUUGACCAUGCUUCCUUGAGUGAGUUGCUUAAUGGAAGAGUUGGAAGAUAAGUUGACUAUCUUUUCUGUAUAAUUUGUUCUCCCUUUUAACUGAUGUACCCACUGAGCCCAUAAAUGGUAGCAGUAAAUGUGCUUCAUAUUAUAUGCUAUAAGAGUUUGUUUAAUUUUAAGACUGUUACAUUGCUGAUGUUUGCUGGAACUUCUGCUUUGCUGCAAAAUGAUAUAAAUACACUUUUAAAAGAACACAAAUAAAUCAGAUGAGGAGAUACA
ensembl:lncRNA